GGAUAUUUCAAAUAAUCUUUCUUUUGCCGUAAAUUACAAGAUUUUCCAGUUUGACCACUGGCGCUUAACCUAACUACAUACUGAAGGAACACUAUAUUAAAUUUUAUAAAUAUUAGGAACCUAAGUAAUAAUGUCACUUAUAUUUAUUAUACCGAUUUUCUCUAGUAUUGAUAUUAACCACUAGAAAACUGAUUUAUUAUCUUCCACAUUAAUCCCAUUUCUUGGGAAAUUAACUGUGGUUAACAAGCAGAACAGGAAUUUGGAGUGCCUGUUUUGUGUAUCCCUCAAAAUUAAUGGAGAAAUUACUACAGGACCAUCUUAGAGGACCAAACACUGAAUACAGAAACAAAGGCCAGAAGGCUAGAUCAUAACUGCCACUGCUAUUCUGGUGGGUCACCAUGGACAGUGCGGUAGUGCUGCUACCCUGAAAAGUAAAUUCUAAACUGCCUUUGCUUCCUUGUGACACUCCCUACAGAUUCAAAGGCAGGUAUAGCUGAUGGGCCAAAUCUAAGUUAUGGGCCAUAAUCUAGCUGUCACAGAGUAAAGAGAACAAGUAUUUGGACUUUCCACCACUCACUCUGGAAAGCAGGGAACAAUGUAGUAGUCUGGUAACAUAAGUUCAAAUUGCUGGGUAAUCAAAACCAAAAAAACAUACAUUUAUUACAUUGAUCAAGAUGAGGUAAUUGAAAGAGCACGUAUUCUGAAGAAAGACAAGCUAAGCUUGCAUCCAAAUCAGGAAUCAGUAAUUGUGUGUUAUUUCACAAUGUAAAAAAAAAAAAACUUAAGACUAUUACUUUUCCAAAUGUAGAUCACGUGUAAAUUAUUGGAAAACAUGUGAAAGCCUGUUGUGAGAACUAAAAUAAAUAAUUCAUCUAAAAGUGUGAGACUGGUAGAAGUUAUCUAAUGCAUGUUAAUUAACAUCCAUAAUCUACUUUCACUUUUCUUUGCCUUUACAAAAAAGAAAAGAAAGAUGUUUGAUAUUGAGAAUUUUACAUCUGGAACCGAUACUGAAACUUUCUGUUUUACAUUUUUGGUUGACAUUAAUAAGGCACUUCAAGCUGGUGUGGGUGGACGUUCUUUCCUGUUGAAAAGAGAACAAAACCCUCAACAAGGAGCAGCUGGAGACAAACUUGGAGCGAGGAAAAGCAGAAAGUGUUGCGAAGCAUAAUCAUUUAAAUCACAGAUUAAGUCAACAUAAUAGCAGAGAAAAUGCAGGAAAUUCAAAAUGUUUGACUAUAGUGGCAACCUCACAGAGUCUUUUCUUUGGGAUCAACAGAGAAAAUGAGCUAAAUGAAUACAAUUUUAUAUCUCCUGACAUAGAAGUAAAGGAUUCAUGAGCAAAUGUUUUAUUUUAUACUAUAAUUUUUAAAAUAUUUCCUUUAAAUACAAAGCCUUAACCAACAAAAUGUAACCAUUAGCUUCAUGAAAAACAAUAAAAAUAAGAGUUAUUAACUAUUACGCUUUCUUGAUAUUUCAUUAUAUACACAUCCA
rnacentral:lncRNA from 1 species